GACGAACGCUGGCGGCGUGCCUAAUACAUGCAAGUAGGACGCAGUUGCGAACGGGUGAGUAACGCGUAGGUAACUGCCUAUUAGAGGGGGAUAACUAUUGGAAACGAUAGCUAAUACCGCAUACUAGUAGAUGGACCUGCGUUGUAUUGGCUAGUAGGUAGGGUAAUGGCCUACCUAGGCGACGAUACAUAGCCGACCUGGGAGGGUGAUCGGCCACAGUGGGGCUGGGACACGGCCCAGACUCCUACGGGGGGCAGCAGUAGGGAAACUUCGGCAAUGGGGGGAACCCUGGCCAGGCAAAGCCGCGUGAGUGAAGAAGGUUUUCGGAUCGUAAAGCUCUGUUGUUAAGGAAGCGGUACUUAACCAGAAAGGGACGGCUAACUACGUGCCAGCAGCCGCGGUAAUUC
rnacentral:rRNA from 1 species